GAUGCUUCAACAGCAAGAACAACAAAAAAAACAAACUGUUUUGUGUGCAUCUCUUCUCACAGAUUCCAGUCAACAUAGGACCAUGCACAGGACAGUGUGUCUAGAUGCAAUCACUGAAGCCCCAUAACAUGAUAUAAGAUAAUCCUAUUGGAAUGGAAUGUGGGUCAUAUGAAAUAGCUACACACUAAAGAGGGAAGAAACUCAGCUCUAGAAGACAGAUAUAUAAUAGAAGUAGACAGGUUACACGCAAGCGGAUAUGGAGGCAAGAACUAGAAAUAAAAGGAAAAGCUUUUGUCAUCAACUGGCUUGAUGUAGCUGGGCCAAAAGAAGUAAGGUUCUUAGGAGUCCAAAAGUUCAGUGAGCAGAAGGCAGUAAAAGCAUGGCAAUAAAUCCCGCACUAACAGCAAUAACACAAAUGGGAGAUUAGCUUGCGUACUGCUGUUCCCAAAGGAGUUUUUCAAGGGUGAGGUUUGUGUUGGGAACCUCUGAAUCAGGCUCAAAAGAUUUUAGGGAAGGACAGAACAGAGACAGGUCAAUGCCAUAGUUCAUAGAAGCAAGCAGUAAGAAAUGCAUUUUGCAAGAAGAACAAUUUUAGAAUAGAGGCCCCAGAGCCAGCUCCAUGGUUGUAAAUGAUCUUGAAUGUAAAUUACCAGUUUAACUUCAUGAGGAAUGAAUUUUGCAGGAGUGCAGUGUUGGAGUUACAGCAGCUCUUCAGGCCUAUGAGGUUUUGGUUCAACUUCAAGGUGCCAGCUGCCAUCCAUAGGCAUCUGUUGGAGCGAGACAGCCUUCUGAUGCUGCCUCCCCAGCAUGGAAGCUAACUGCAUGGGAGCAGCAGAGAAAGAAGAGGAAAGUUGGCAUAAGGAAAUAUGGAAAAAGCAUCUUUUUAGUUAAUGUCUGUAAUAUUAAGAAAGGAGAAGGAGUUCAAAGGUGCAUGGGGAUUGCUGGGUUACAGCCUGAACCAAUGACUGAGCACCAGGUGAGAAGGCAUGGGUUACCCAGGGAGCUCAGGUGCAAGCAACACUCCUGAGAGACCCUCAUUUAAGGGUUAGCAGCCAAGAGAGCAACAUCUCUCUUCAGAGAUCAUGCUCUUCUCAAGAUAUCACUGGUCUUCAGAAAGGGGAGCAUGCCACUGACAGUGAGCUGGGAUUGCCUGCCUCACCCUGUCCCCUUCCUCUCAGCGUGUCCCAUUCAAGUGCUGUGCUGAGGGAGCUUCCAGAGAGCCACAGCUGUGGUGUUUAGGAGAUGUGCACCCUCCAGAAGGAUCCUCACAGGGGACACAGGUGACUCAGGGUGACUGGCACAGGCUGCCCAGAAAAUCUACAGUGUCUCCAUCCUUCAAAACCUGACCAGAUACAUCCCUGAUCAACCUGCCCCAGUUGGCCUUGCUUGGAGUGGGGAAUUUGGACCAGAAUAAAUAUCCCCAAAGAUCCCAUCCAACCUCAAUCUUUGGGUGGUUCUAAGAGUGAGGAGAGUGGAGUACAGGAUUCUU